rnacentral:rRNA from 1 species
CGGUGAAUACGUUCCCGGGGCUUGUACACACCGCCCGUCACGUCACGAAAGUCGGUAACACCCGAAGUCAGUGGCCCAACCGCAAGGGGGGAGCUGCCUAAGGUGGGAUCGGUGAUUGGGACGAAGUCGUAACAAGGUAGCCGUACCGGAAGGUGCGGCUGGAUCACCUCCUUUCUAAGGAG